UAACAGUCUAUCUCAAGAAUAUUAAGGUGCUCGCUCCAUGGGGGCCCAGUGUGCCAUGGCUGCAAACAGUAGCCUCCUUGGUAGUGUAUGCAGCCUGUUGAUCGUAUGGGUUGCCCUAAGGGACCUUGGAGACAGCC